GGCAACUCUAGCUCAUCGCCAGAAGUCAACUCUUUUUUUACACUCGAUAUCAAUUUCAUUGGACGGAACUGCCCAACUAAUCCAAACCACCAAUUGGUGGUGGAAGGGCUGAGGAGGAGGGACUGGAUGGAGAAGGCCCCGAGGCCCUUCCCCUCUCCCGACGGGGCGAAGGAGGGGAUAAUGCCGAGGGGGAAGCCGUUGCCG
rnacentral:misc_RNA from 1 species